GUCUACGGCCAUACCACCCUGAACGCGCCCGAUCUCGUCUGAUCUCGGAAGCUAAGCAGGGUCGGGCCUGGUUAGUACUUGGAUGGGAGAAUACUUAUGAAAGUAAUUGAGGAAGACA
rnacentral:rRNA from 1 species